CUUUACUCCCCUUCUUAAUCCCCCUCUCAUUCACUGUAAUCCUACAUGAUGAUGAUGAUAAUAAUCCGCCACCACCGACACCACCGGUACUCUGUUUUAUUAAAAACAGAGUACUCUGUUUUCGACCGAUCCGAUAAAUCAAGUUUCAAAUCAAUAAAACUCGAAUCAUCAUGAAUUCGACUAAAUUCGCUCUCUUUUGCCGAAAACCCAUGUUCAAAAUCCAUCAAUCCACCUCUAAAUCCACUCUUCCUGGGCUCAGACUCAUUAAAAUCCGAUAUUUUCGCACUCGAAAACGCCAUAUCACUAACACUCCCCCCCUCAUGAUCAAACCCCCCACCCCUAAAACUACACAAAGACCUUGAUCUAGACACAUCCAUCCCACAAUCAUUCACCCAAAUCUCACUGUUUCUCUCUCUACACUCCUCUUUCUCUCUCCUCUUCUUGAAAAGCUUCCCAAUCCUCCAAAACCCAUGACUCUUUUUCACCUCAACAACACAACUAUUACUCCUUUUGAACAUAAGCACAUCCUCUGUUUCCUUCUUGCUCUGUUUCUUGAAAUCAAAGAGUGAUCUUUGGUCAUCAUUUUCAAUCAAGAAUGAGAUUCUACCAACACUUCCAACAUCAACAGUGCAAGAAGAGUUUCUGUAGGAGGAAACAUCAGAGCAAGAACAUGAAGAAAGCCUCUGUUCUCCACAAUCUGAACACACAAGCUUCAUGAGCCUGUCUUUAAGGCAAUAUGCACAUAUUCCAACAGGGGAUGAAGAUGGGUGUUUUUUACAGGGGAUGUUGGAAGAUGAUGAGUUGUAAAAGUUGUAAUCUUGGUAGAAGUUUGUGUACUCUGUUUCUGAUUCAACAGAUUUGCCUCUUUCCUUCAUGGGUGGUUGUUUGUUUGCUGUUUUUACUCAAGAUUUUGAGUCCUUUUUGGUUGCUGAAUUUGGGUUUUUAAAGAGGUGAAA
rnacentral:lncRNA from 1 species